AAGAUUCUAAUUAAGACUAUAUUACAAAAUUUGAAUUAAUUAAUUUUAUUUUAUGAACACUGAUAUUUAUUUUUUGUGUUGAAACUAUAGGGAAGAUCUCGCUGAAGACAAUGCCAGAGGCUAUUAUGCCAGCAUAACAGCAUUUCAUGAAUUAGCCGAAUUUUUGCCGGAGUUAUGCACACAAAGAAUGGAUCCAGGCUUGUGCCUUUUUCCAGAAAAUGUGGUCGAUGAUAUCCUAACGCCGCUGUUCCUGUUAAAUUCUGAUUUUGAUAGAUAUCAAAUAUUUUAUCUUGUAAAUCCAAAUCCUCCUGAUGAGGCAGGCUAGAAAAAUUGCACGACCAAUUUCGACAGCCUUCGAAAUUGCACAGCCAACCAAAUACAGCUCAUAAUGGGCAAUCUAAAUUUAUAAUUAGUAUUUCAAUUUUUUGAUCAUAAUAAUUAGUUUAUAAAAUUUAAUUUGAACUUGAUUUCAGAUUUUCGACCGCAUUUCUGAAAACAUUAGAGGGGUUGGAUGAUAAUCCGACAAGAGGAUUAUUCAUCAAUUCAUGCUACAUUCAUGACUUUAUUAACACUUAAUCUUAUUGGCAAGGAA